ACGAACGCUGGCGGCAUGCCUAACACAUGCAAGUCGAACGAGACCUUCGGGUCUAGUGGCGCACGGGUGCGUAACGCGUGGGAACCUGCCCUUAGGUUCGGAAUAACUCCCCGAAAGGGGUGCUAAUACCGGAUAAUGUCUUCGGACCAAAGAUUUAUCGCCUUUGGAUGGGCCCGCGUUGGAUUAGCUAGUUGGCAGGGUAAAAGCCUACCAAGGCGACGAUCCAUAGCUGGUCUGAGAGGAUGAUCAGCCACACUGGGACUGAGACACGGCCCAGACUCCUACGGGAGGCAGCAGUGGGGAAUAUUGGACAAUGGGCGAAAGCCUGAUCCAGCAAUGCCGCGUGAGUGAUGAAGGCCUUAGGGUUGUAAAGCUCUUUUACCCGGGAUGAUAAUGACAGUACCGGGAGAAUAAGCUCCGGCUAACUCCGUG
rnacentral:rRNA from 1 species